rnacentral:miRNA from 1 species
AUUCGAAUUAGGCGUUUAUGACGUUGAAUAUCAACGUCAUAAACAUUCAACCUAGAUGUUUAUGACGUUGAUAUUCAACGUCAUAAACAUUCAAC